GUGCCAGCAGCCGCGGUAAUACAGAGGGUGCGAGCGUUGUUCGGAAUUACUGGGCGUAAAGCGCGCGCAGGCGGCCUUUUAAGUCUGCUGGUGAAAUGCCGGGGCUCAACCCCGUGCCCGCCACAGAUACUGGGAGGCUGGAGACGAGUAGAGGCAAGCGGAAUUCCGGGUGUAGCGGUGGAAUGCGUAGAGAUCCGGAAGAACACCGGAGGCGAAGGCGGCUUGCUGGGCUCGGUCUGACGCUGAGGCGCGAAAGCGUGGGGAGCGAACAGGAUUAGAAACCCGGGUAGUCC
rnacentral:rRNA from 1 species